GACGAACGCUGGCGGCGUGCUUAACACAUGCAAGUCGAACGGAAAGGCCCUGCUUUUGUGGGGUGCUCGAGUGGCGAACGGGUGAGUAACACGUGAGUAACCUGCCCUUGACUUUGGGAUAACUUCAGGAAACUGGGGCUAAUACCGGAUAGGAGCUCCUGCUGCAUGGUGGGGGUUGGAAAGUUUCGGCGGUUGGGGAUGGACUCGCGGCUUAUCAGCUUGUUGGUGGGGUAGUGGCUUACCAAGGCUUUGACGGGUAGCCGGCCUGAGAGGGUAACCAGGCACAUGGGUACUGAGAGACGGACCAGUAGCCUACGGGAGGCAGCAGUGGGGAAUAUUGCACAAUGGGCGGAAGCCUGAUGCAGCAACGCCGCGUGCGGGAUGACGGCCUUCGGGUUGUAAACCGCUUUCGACGGUGACGAAGCGUGAGUGACGGUAAUGGGUAAAGAAGCACCGGCUAACUACGUG
rnacentral:rRNA from 1 species